rnacentral:rRNA from 1 species
UACGGGAGGCAGCAGUGGGGAAUAUUGCACAAUGGGCGCAAGCCUGAUGCAGCCAUGCCGCGUGUAUGAAGAAGGCCUUCGGGUUGUAAAGUACUUUCAGUCGUGAGGAAGGUGUUAAGGUUAAUAACCUUAGCAAUUGACGUUAGCGACAGAAGAAGCACCGGCUAACUCCGUGCCAGCAGCCGCGGUAAUACGGAGGGUGCGAGCGUUAAUCGGAAUUACUGGGCGUAAAGGGCACGCAGGCGGUUAAUUAAGUUGGAUGUGAAAUCCCCGGGCUUAACCUGGGAAUGGCAUUCAAGCUGGUUAGCUAGAGUCUUGUAGAGGAGGGUAGAAUUCCAUGUGUAGCGGUGAAAUGCGUAGAGAUGUGGAGGAAUACCGGGUGGCGAAGGCGGCCCCUGGACAAAGGACUGACGCUCAUGUGCGAAAGCGUGGGGAGCAAACGAGGAUUAGAUACC